ensembl:snRNA U6 U6 spliceosomal RNA
GCACUUUCUUCCAUAGCACAGAGUAAAACUGGAAGAAUAUCAGAAAGAUUAGCAUGGCCCCUGCACAAGGAUGAAGUGAACCUGUGAAGCAUUACAUAUUUUU